rnacentral:pre_miRNA from 1 species
AUUACCUGGGAAUCUUGUUAAAAUUCAGAUUCUCAUUCAGUAGGUCUGAAAUAGGGCCUGAGACUCUGCAUUUCUAACGAGCUCCCAGGUGAUGCUGG